AAUAAUCCAUCCCCUUUGCCGCCCCUUGCACUCACCUUCUUCCUUCAGCGGGGAGAUCCUUCAUGUAAUAUUACAUUUCUAUUUCCAAAUCCCCCUUUCAGACAUGAAGAGAAACAAAGAGCAGCCCAAAUAACCGCAACCCCGCGGAGCGCGGGGGGUGAGAGGUUAGCCCCGAGUUUCCUGCAACUUCGUGCUGCAACACGUCGUUGAAGGGAAAGGUCGUGCUCUCGUGUGUUUUGUUUUAAAUAAUAUUGACCCAUUCAUUCUCAACCUGCUUGUUCGUGAAAUUAUACAGGAUUAUAACUUUGCCAUCGCUGGACAAUUGAAACAAAUCAAGAUGAAUUGCUGCUCGGCCCUCCCAUCGGCUCACACCCCGGGCGGGCGAGGAGGGGCUGCCGGGAGGGUGGGCAGCCGCAGGACCCGGCGGGAAUAUCGACACACUAUGAAAUUCUGCAGGCGCGUAAACUGGCGAGGGGAGCAGGGGACGGCAAGAAAGAAACUCACCGCGGUGAGGGCGAGCUUCCUUCUUGAGCGGCCUUUGCGCGCUCGUUGCGCGCUUUUGUGAGGUCGGGAGGAGCCGCUGAGGUAGCCCAGGGGUGGGCGGACACGGUGGAGGGGGUUCCUUCCCCCCUCAGCGGUUAGAGGGGGAGAGGAGCAAAAGGGGGAGAGAAGAGGUCAGCGCCCUGCGCUUUCCUACGAGGAAAAUGCUUCCCCCACAAGAAAUCAGGGUAUUCACCCGCGGGACCAUUUGCAGCGUGGGCAGACCCCAGACUCCACUUUUUUUCCCCCCUCAUUUUUUAUUUUCACUUAACCCCUUUAAUUUUUAUUUUCCUCCCCCCCUUUUUUCCUUCUUCAAAAAUUUUUUAUUAGAUUUUUUUUUUUGUCUACCUUAUUUUGUUGUGUGGUUGGGGUUUUUAAAAUUAUUUUAGUAUUUUACACCUUUCUGUUUUCUUUUCCUCUGUGUGUUCUUGCCAGGGAGUCAUAGGAGAGAAAGAAUCUCCGUGCUUGGGGUGUGGGGAGGGAAGGUGGGAGGCCCCCCCCGGCUUGUCCGGCCUUGCCGCCGCCCUGACCCAGCGCCGCUCCCCUCGGUUUUUCCGCACCGUGUCAACACCUCACCCGGGCCGCAGAGAGGGAGAGAAAAAGCCACAACGAAAUGGGGAAUUUGCAAAAUAUCUGUUUGGACAAGCGGGCGGGGAGAGUGGUUAAACAACGGGCUCGCACCCCCUCGCCCACCUCUCGGCUCUCGGGAAGGCCUAUCCGGGCCGCCUGCUGCGCAGCCCCCCGCGCCGGGCGUGCGAGCGGGCAGCGCCGUCUGCCUCCUAAUCCACAUCCCAAUCCACAUCCCAAUCCACAGUCCCGCUGGUCCGCGGAGCCCCCACCGCCCCCCGGUCGGAGCUGCGGCCGCGGAGCGGUGCCGGGAGCGCGCCCCUUCCAGCUUCUUGCCGGGGGGCGAGGGGUCCCCGCCGCUGGCGCCCCGGGGCCGUGUCCUAGCUCGGCUCCCUUCUUUUGUUUCCGGACGGUGCCUUCCCGCACUUGGAACCCCGGCGGCGUGCGAGAGUCCCUGGCCGUCGGAUCGGCGUGCCUCGCCUCGCAAAGGUCAAAAUAAAGCGCAGACACGGAUAUAUAUCUCCUUUGGGUUAUUUUCUGUGCUUCCCGCUCCCCUCUCCUUGCUUUGUUUUUAGUACGUGCACGCUCAUCCGCGUGUGCCUUCACAAACCAGCGAGAUACCGAUCUUUACAUACCUGUACAGUUGUUUGUACCUAUAAAAUAAAAGAACCUUUUUUUA